UUAUAUAAAUGGAAUCAUCAUAUCUACUACACACACAUUGACAUCUAUAUGUUUCUACAUGCAUCUUCAUACAUUUCUACAUAUCUAGACUGUUGUGUCUUGUUUCUUUCAUUUAAUAUUAAAGGGCAGCAUUGUUCAGCAGUCAUUUAUUCAUCCUUGGUGCUGUAUAGCAUUUGAUUUUGUGAGCACAGCACAAUUUAUUUAUCCAUUGUCCUGUUGGUGAAUAUUUGAGUAAUUUCCAGUUUGGAAGCACUGCAAAUACUACUGCUUUGAACAUUCUAUUCCAUUGUCUUUUGGUGAACAUCUAUAUUCACUUCUGUUUGAUAUAAUCUUAAGAAUGGAAUUUCUGGGUCAUAAGUAUGGGUAUGCUCAGCUUUAGCAGACACUGCCAAAGAUGUUCUUUGCAAAGAGAAAUAAACAUCCAAUGGUUCUCUUCUUGGGUAUCAGACAGUGUUUAUUGGUUUUAGUACAUAGCACAAUCAAAGCCAGUAUUCUUAGUUUUCUCGUAUGUAAAAUGAGCAUAGUAACACCUGCUUAGUGGAUCCCAUAGGGAUACUAUGAAAAUCAAAUGAAAGAAUGUAACAAUGCUUCCUCCCAGGCUUGGAGGAGCUA
rnacentral:lncRNA from 1 species